CCCGCUGCGGCUUCUCCUCCUCCGCCUCCUCCUCUUCCUCCAGUUUCUUCUUCUCCUCCUCCUCCUCUUCCUCCUCCUCCUCUUUCCCCACCUACUCCCCCUCAGCCACUGCCUCCGCCUCCACCAGCACCACUCCCUCCGGGGCACCCCGGUCCCUGCAGAGUCCCUGGCCGGCGCCGCCUCCGCUGCGGCCCCCUGAAUCCCGAGCCCGCUGCGCCCAAGCUGGUAGGACAGACGGACAGACAGAUUGCUCUCGCCUAGCGCUCCGCCGCUGCUGCCUUACGCGGCCCCGCGUCGGGAGAACUGGGAUCGCCCCAAGAGCACCGCGAGGGCCCUGUCCACCCUUCUAAGUGACUCACAUGAAAAUAACUGAAGACCUCACUCCCAGAUGGAAAGAGUGAGGCAAGUCGGGGGGACUUCGGCAGCAGCCAUCAGUGCUGAGGCCCAUGUCAAGCCCAUGGCUCAAGGCCACUGGAGGACUGCUGAACCCACCAGCUCCCAAGAGCAGAGUCGGUGCUGACCGGACACCACCUGAGGUUCUGGGAUCAUCUCAGGCUGGCUGCACGCCUCAGCUGAAGAUCCCAGCUCCUGUCAAUGCCACCUCUCCGCUUGACUGUCUCCUUCCAGAUUCGGUCUGCCCUUUAGGCCCAGGGGUGGUGAGAGCCCUGAACUGAGAUCCCAGCUCCAGGAUAUUGCACCAGCCCUUUCAGUUUCCCUAUACCCUGCCCACACUUUAGUCAAGGCAGGUGUAGGCAGGAUACACAUUUUUUUUUAAGGGACUCCUUAAAGCGUCCUAAUUUGAGUGUGCAUCUGUUUCCUGAUAGCCCCUGACCACUAGAUCUUGCUCUGGGGGAGCCAGCAGUAAAAAGGAAAUGAAUGCUUUUUCUAAUUAUAGGGUCAGUUGGUAAAAGAGGUAGAAAGCUUUUAAAAAUGAUUCAUUCUUCAUUAAGAAAUGAAUUAUUAAAUGGCUUUGCUUCUCCUAGAGUUAAAAAAAGGGUUGGAGGCCAAGUAUUGGCCUCUUUGCACCUGUGAUGAGCAAAUGGGCUGUCCUGGAGCCUUUGUCUCCCAAAGUCCUUCACCAAUACUGAGGCACAGAGGCCAGCCAGGGUGUCACGUCACCACCAAGGAGCUCCCCCAAUCCCCCCUUAUCUGGCAAAGUUGACACCAGAAUUCCAACCACUGUUUUUAACUUGAACCUGAGAGCAGAACCUAAUUUCCAGAUGCUCAAGGAAAACUGUAACCUUUCUUUGGAGUUUCCAUAUUUAGCGUAGAGCUGCUUGGAAAGGAGGCACUGUCUCUUUGCCACAACUCUUCCAACUGGUAAUUCUCUUUUUUCCUGCAGUGGGAUUCCUUUUGCUAAUUCACUGGAUUUAGUCAUUUCUUGGUUUUCCACGUGGAAAGCCAAAGGACACUUGGGUCUGGGAGUGCCCUAGGCCCUGUCCUCUGUUCCCAAUCCCCAGGGACCCUCACUCCUUAGCUGUGUCCAACUCUGGAGAGGUGGUGCCAGGAAGAGGCUGGUACCUGGAGCCCCAGCAUUUCCCAAAGCAGCUGGAAGACGCAGACACAUGAUUACAGCUGCUGGGACGGGAUCCGGGGGGCGGGUCAGCUCAGGCAUGCCAGGAUAUAAAGAGAAAGGAAGUGCAGAUGGCAAUUUGGAAGAUUUAGGAGUUGUUGGGCUGUCAUCAGAUUUUAUGUGUUGUCAUUGACAUAUGUUUGUAUUCUCUCCAGAGCAGGUAUGAGCUGGGAAGAAUGAAGGCAGGGCAUGCCCGUGUGCCAGCUCUGCACAGCUGGAUAGAUGAGGAAAGAUGUGGAGGAGAAGCCGGGGAUUAUCUGGAAGUCUAAGGGUGUUGUUUGCCCCUUGGGUUCCAGAAGAUGCAUGCCAGGACCUGGGGUGGCACCGCUAGGAAGCAACAGAGAGGAGAUAAAACUCACAGCAGACGGACUAGCCUUAACAAAAACUUCCUUGAAUUAAAACACGCUUUUCAAGAAAACAAAUAUCAGUUCAAUCAGCAAACCACAGAUUAGUUUCUCAUCAUAAUGGCCAACAAGGGCCAGGUUGCUGACCAGUGUAAGAGCUUCAGAAAAGGAGAGGGGAGAUGGGAUGGCCAGGAGCAAGAGCACUGUACAUCCCUGGACAACCUCAUUCUAAUGGUCAGGGGCUGGGAUGUGCAUUUUGGAGUGCAGGAGAAGUGGCAACUCACAAAUGCUAGAUUUUCUUCUAGAGAUGACCAAGCUGUAGUUCUCAAAGCAGUGGCACUAGGGCAGAAAACUCUCACACUUUGAUAUGCACACACAGCCCCUGGGGAUCUUGUUGACAUGUAGAUUCUGAUUCCAUAGGUCGGGCUGAGAUUCUGCAUUUCCAACAAGCUCCUAGAUGAGGUCCAUUUUGCUGGUCCAUGAAACACACUUAGAAUAAGUAGCAAGGUAUAGGAGGAUACUGACUUUGCUCAGUGAUGCUUGUGCUUCCCUCCAAACUAAAAUAAAACAAAAGCAGACAUAAAUGGCCCAACUCAACAGCCUGAGAAGUUUGGUGAUAAUGACCCAAGCCCUGGCCUGGUGACCAAGUGGCUGCUCAGAGAGCUCCAUCUCCAAACUCCUUCCCUUCCUGCCUCCCCUCCAAGAGUGAGUAAUUUGCCAGAGUUCAUUAAGGUCUGCUGUCCCCAGGGAAAGGUGGCCCAGUCACCAAGUGCAAGUGUAUAGAAUGGCUUACCUGUGCAAAGCUAUCAGCCCUGGACCUAUGGGCCUAGAAACAUGACUUGCCACUCACUCACUGUCAUUGGUUCAUUUCUGCAACAAACACUUCCUGAGCAUAUGCUAUACACCAGGCCCUGAGCUCAGCUCUGGGGAUACAGGAUGAAUGGCAGAUUGUGCCCUCAGGAAGCUGACAGUACAGUCAGCCCGCUGGAGCACAUAUGAGAAACAAUACGGAUGUUUUGAUUUAUUAUCAUAUUGAUUAUUAUGAUGGUAGCGUAUACUUUUGGUGGCCUGCCAUACAUUAGGCAUUGUGCUAAGCACAUUAUAUGGUUAAUCUCAUCAAUCCUCACAACAACCUAUGUGGCAGGUACUAUUAUUAAACCCACUUCAAAGAGGAGGGAACUGAACCUCAGAGAGGGUAAGUAACUUGCACAAGGACAGCAGCCAGUGAGGAGAGGAACUGAGAGGAAUGGCCGGACAGGCUAUCAGCCUCUGUCCCCACAUGCUGGGUCUAAGUGUCUGCUGGUGGACACAUUCCCUUCCUGGAGGGAGAGCUCCUGGGGAGCUGACAGCAGCACUGAGUGAGUCUCGAAUGUGAUGGGAGUGCAUUAGAUCACAUGGGUGAUCUGAUGAGUACAGAGGCAUCACACUGCAAUGACUUCAUGCACAUAUCUCCCCUGAAUGGACAGAGAUUUGGCAGAGGCCAGGAGCUGGAAUUUCUGGCCCAGUGUCCCCCUCUUUUCCCUGGGGAAAGCCAGGGACACACUGCCUGGCUUUGCUACACCUUGCUAGGCAAAGGCAGUAUGUUCUCCCUCUCCUUGGCCUCCCUGGCUGUCCACACAUCCACACCCACUCACACAUACAUGCACGUGAUCAUACACAUUACACAAGCCCACAUGCCCACAGACAUGCUCACACUCACACUCACAUGCAUACACUGUCAUGCACAACACACAUACAUACAUUCAUACACACUCACACACACACACGCACACGCACUUCUGAUGGCCAGUCCUUUGGGGGUAUGUUGACACUGUGAAGCAGGUGAAACAAAGUCUUUACCCUGCUUUGGGCCUAUUAUGUUUGUUUUAUAGUUUAACUCUCAAAAGACAACUUUAUUUUCCAAAAUCAUUCAGGUUCCCAGCCAGGUGCAGUGGCUCACACCUGUAAUCCCAGUACUUUGGGAGGCCAAGGCAGACAGAUCACCUGAGGUCAGGAGUUUGAGACCAGUCUGGCCAACAUGGUGAAACCCAGUCUCUACUAAAAAUACAAAAAUUAGCCAGACAUGGUGGCACACACAUGUAAUCCCAGCUAUUCGGGAGGCUGAGGCAGGAGAAUCACUUGAACCCGGGAGGCGGUGGUUGCAGUGAGCCAAGAUCGUGCCACUGCACUCUAGCCUGGGCAACAGAGCAAGACUCCAUCUCAAAAAACAAAAACAAAAUCAUUCAGGUUCCCUAGGGGACCCUCACUGUGUCCUGGAUUCCAUUCCACUUUUAAAGCCCCAAACAGCUUGUAUGGCCACUUCCCUUGACACCCAAACCAGAUAGGAGUCCUAAAUGACACAGAAUAUUGAUGGUUUCUUUAAAAGGAAAUCCACUCUCAAUGGGAAGUUGGAUAACUUUGCAUCCAGAUUUCAUCCAUCUUGGGCUUUGGUGGCUGCUGUUUGUUUCUUGUGCAGGAGAAUCUCUCCCAGCCAACGUCAAUUCACUAACACAGUGGUUAACCUUUGCUCUCUACUCCUGCAUCAAUCUGCCACCUACCGCAUGUUGAGCCAUGCUGCUUCCUGGCAUUCCUUUUGGAUUUUCAAUUUACUACCCAACUACCAGUCCUAAUAACAUCAGAUAAAAGGGCUUCUGCUGUGCUGCGCUUGUGUUCAAAAAUUAUAAAUGCCGUCGACCCAGAGUUAAGUCCAGCCUCAGAGAGACAGAAUAUAAAUACCCAAGUGGCCCUGGGCCACUGAGUUCCUCAGACAUUAUGUGCUAUGGGAGUUCCAGAAAGGGGGAUUGCCUGAUUUUGAGUGCAGAAGGCUUCCUGGAGGAGGCGAGAUUUCUGAUAGGCCUCUGUUAUGAGCUAAAUUGAGUCCAUCCCAAAAUUCAGAUGUUCAAAUCCUAACCUGUAGUACCUAAGCACAUGACCUUAUUUGGAAGCAGAAGCAUAGCAGAGGUAAUUCGUUAAGAUGAGGUCAUAGUGGAAGAGGGUGGACCCCAAUCUGAUAUAACUCGUGUCCUUUUAAAAAGCAGAAAUUUGAAGACAGACACACAGGAAGAAGAUGAAGGCAGAGACCUGGCUGAUGCAGCUACAAGCUAAGGAACACCAAAGGUUGCCAGCAAAGCACCAGCAGCCAGGGAGAGGCCUCGAACAAAUUCUCCCUCCCAGCAAAAAGGAGGAAGGAAGGGACCUCCAAAAGAAGCAGGCCGGGAAUGGUGGCUCAUUCCUGUAAUCCCAGUACUUUGGGAGGUUAAGGCAGGCAGAUCACCUGAGGUCGGGAGCUCGAGACCAGCCUGGCCAACAUGGUGAAACCUCAUCUCUACAGAAAAAUACAAAAAUUAGUCAGGUGUAGUGGCAUGCACCUGUAGUCCCAGUUACUCAGGAGGCUGAGGCAAGAGAAUUGCUUGAACCCGGGAGGCGGAGGUUGCAGUGAGCCAAG